GCGAUCUUCUUCGGAAGAGAGCGGCGGACGGGUGAGUAACGCGUGGGUAACCUGCCUCAUACACAUGGAUAACAUACCGAAAGGUAUGCUAAUACAAGAUGAUAUAAGAGAUUCGCAUGGAUUUCUUAUCAAAGCUCCGGCGGUAUGAGAUGGACCCGCGUCUGAUUAGCUAGUUGGUAAGGUAAUGGCUUACCAAGGCUUCGAUCAGUAGCCGACCUGAGAGGGUGAUCGGCCACAUUGGAACUGAGACACGGUCCAAACUCCUACGGGAGGCAGCAGUGGGGAAUAUUGCACAAUGGGCGAAAGCCUGAUGCAGCAACGCCGCGUGAGCGAUGAAGGCCUUCGGGUCGUAAAGCUCUGUCCUCAAGGAAGAUAAUGACGGUACUUGAGGAGGAAGCCCCGGCUAACUACGUGCCAGCAGCCGCGGUAAUACGUAGGGGGCUAGCGUUAUCCGGAUUUACUGGGCGUAAAGGGUGCGUAGGUGGUUUCUUAAGUCAGGAGUGAAAGGCUACGGCUUAACCGUAGUAAGCUCUUGAAACUGGGAAACUUGAGUGCAGGAGAGGAAAGUGGAAUUCCUAGUGUAGCGGUGAAAUGCGUAGAUAUUAGGAGGAACACCAGUAGCGAAG
rnacentral:rRNA from 1 species